UUCCUGAUGAUCGGCUCAAGUUCCAGCUUGUUGUUCCUUCAUCUGCCCUCCCAUCUGCAGGAUGAUGUGGGUGUGGCCAUUGGAGGGUUCUGCUUUGGGGCCUCUCCCAUUUUACCUAUGAGACACAGAGGAGAGAACUGCCAUUCAUCCCUGUGUAUUGCUUCCAACUUGGAUGAAUAGAGAAUGGAUCUUCACCGUCAACAGCUGCCAAGUUUAAUAAGUGAUGUAUUCCCUUUACCUUUGAUCUGGGAAUAUACUCCCUGUACUAUUUUCUUUACGGGUCACAGUUGAAAACAGCCUGAGGUGAUUAAUCAGGACUAAUUUCUUGUUGUUCUUUUGAGAAUGAGUCAGAUACCAAAAGUACACAAAAGUACACACAUGCCAAGAAAACACUAAAAAGGCACAUUUCGUACUCAGUUGUAAUUCAAAGUACUUUACAUAAAUGUAGUUAAAAACAUUUUAAAAACUAAUAAACAUUUUUUUAAUAUAUGACUCUCGUGCCUGCAUCAAGCAGGGUCUCCAUCCCCCAGUCAGUUCCUGCUCCACCCCUCCGAAUUCUAGGCACACCUAUAAUUCAUCAACCAAAUUAAUUUGGAGUGAUUUAUAGUACACGAUCCUUCUGAAAUAUUGAGUUAUCCACCGUCCUGAGUGUUUGUCUCAUGAUCUGGUUUGCGUGUGUAUCUCCGGCUGCAUUGGUUCUGUCGUUUUUUGUCUUUCUUAUGAUUUGGAUUUGUUUGUUCCACACUCUCAGUAUCAACAUUGUGCUUCAUUUCCCAAUGUAAUGUGCCUUCAGGGCCUACCUGUGUCCACUCCCAAGAUCAUUUGCGACACCACGUAACUGAUAACCAACGUUGAGGCACAUUGGCCAGGAUCUGUGCGUGAUUCAAGGAUUUUUGGGGAAUGUACAUUGUACAACAUAUUUGCACAAGGGCCAGAGGAUAUGUGCAUGUUCUAGGCCUGGUUCCAGUGUCUGCAUGGGCUCCAGGUCUUCCCAGGAAGAGAACAGGAAUGUGAAUAUUCAUCCAUCUCUUCUACAGUAUGAGCCAUAAGAAGAACAAGCCCUCCACCAUGCAGACCGCAGGAAUAGCAGAGUCCUCAGGGACAUUAUCACAAGCAAGCAUUUUUCUGAACAAUUGCCACUGCAAUAAAUAAAAUGAAGACAAACUGACCACGGUGCCAACAAAUAUUAAUGACGCACUUUCAAUUUAUUGAUCUUUUCACAACAAUUAGGAACCUUCCCUCUUUUAACAACCGCUCACUGGUGUUACAGCAGUUCAAUCCGGAGUUCGCAUUUCUGCGUCUGACAAUGUCCAAAUGGACCUUGUACUGGACAUUCACAAGCAGCUAGGGAUAGAGCAUUUUGGCAACCCUGAGUCUGUGCGUGUCAUACCUUCACCUCUACACAGGACAUAAGGAAUAAGUUCAUAUUGUGCUCAGAGGUGCAUGGCCUUGUCAUCACAGGAUGGGUCACCUAAGCUCUGUUAGAUCCACCAGUUCCGUUAUGCUUUCACUCAAUGGGAAGAGAAUAAUGAUUAGAUUUGAAAUUCAGUCUGAAUUAUGUGAAAACUACUGAGGGACAAGCGCCUCCAAUUCCAAAAUGUAAUUUAUUCCAUUGAAUAAUGAAUGUAGCAAACCUACCAUAUAUAUAGGAACUUAAUUGUGUCCUUGGGUGUUGCUGCUUCAGAAGAGCUACUCUCUGGGAUUCCUUCAAGUAUAGGUUGCCCAAUGCUACAGUACAUUGCUGUGAUGGCUAAUUCUUCAGCCAGGAUGAUGGCCUUCUAUCUGUAAUGUGAGCCUUGGCUCCCUUCCUCUUAUGUACAGAAUUACGGUUACACGUUUGCCAGGGUCUAUAGGUAGACAAAUGUUGGCUUGAAUUACAAAUACACAGCCAUAUUAUUUGUAUUUUGGAUUAUGUUUUUAUACUUCUGUCUUACUUGCUGUCAGUGUCUCUUGGGUCUAGUGGAUUACAGCUAAAUUAAAG